rnacentral:sRNA from 1 species
AUAAAGAGUAAAGUUGUCAUUGUGUGAUGCACACAAAAAUCAUCUAAAGUAAAUUUUGGUAGUGCGGAUUUAAUUGUCAAAAGUCGUCCAUGAAAAUCGAUUGUCAUUAAUCAUUUGUUAGACUAAAAUCAAAUGAUUUGUUAGCCUAAGUUGAUCAUUUUUAAUAUGAUAUAAUUAAACUAAAAAUAUUUUACGAGGAUACUAUUUCACUACUUGAUAACAUUUCUACUCAUAAAUCAAAAGAGGUCGCAGAAGAGUUGGUGUAAACGACAUCUAUAAUCAGAUUCGUUGGAGCUACCAUCAAUUAAAAGAGAGUAUCGGCAGAACCACAUGUAUGACGUUUAGGAUGCUGCCAUGGCUGUCUAUUCAGGUCACAUAUAUCAAAAGUUCUACCAUUUCGUGAUUGGUGAAAUAGAGAUUAUAUCACCCAAAAUAAAAAAUUCCAACGUACCAUAUGAUACUUUUGCAUCCUUUUUUACCCAGACAAUAUAACUUUAUAUGAGCUUAGUUUCUUUGAUAAUUUUUUCUGUAGGCGGUCUCUUUGUCGCCCAAUACAUGUGCACUUUGUCAUUAAAAUCACUGACCUUCAACUUCUCAUCUAUCCUAUGUGUUUCAAGCACAUUUAAUUAAUUCAUAAGAUUUACAUAUUCUGUAUACAUAUGGGUUUUCAUAAAACAACUAUGCAUUCUUUGUGCAAUAAU